rnacentral:rRNA from 1 species
GACGAACGCUGGCGGCGUGCCUAAUACAUGCAAGUCGAACGAACCGCGACUAGGUGCUUGCACUUGGUCAAGGUGAGUGGCGAACGGGUGAGUAACACGUGGGUAACCUACCUCAUAGUGGGGGAUAACAGUCGGAAACGACUGCUAAUACCGCAUAGGACAUAGGAUCACAUGAUCCAGUGAGGAAAGGUGGCGCAAGCUAUCGCUAAGAGAUGGAGCCGCGGUGCAUUAGCUAGUUGGUAGGGUAAAGGCCUACCAAGGCGAUGAUGCAUAGCCGACCUGAGGGGGUGAUCGGCCACAUUGGGACUGAGACACGGCCCAAACUCCUACGGGAGGCAGCAGUAGGGAAUCUUCCGCAAUGGACGCAAGUCUGACGGAGCAACGCCGCGUGAGUGAAGAAGGUCUUCGGAUCGUAAAGCUCUGUUGUUAGAGAAGAACAGCGCAUAGAGUAACUGUUAUGCGUGUGACGGUAUCUAACCAGAAAGCCACGGCUAACUACGUG